rnacentral:rRNA from 1 species
UACGGGGGGGGCAAGCGUUGUUCGGAAUUACUGGGCGUAAAGGGGUCGUAGGUGGCUUGCUAAGUCAGACGUGAAAUCCCUCAGCUUAACUGGGGAACUGCGUCUGAGACUGGCAAGCUUGAGUGCAGGAGAGGAAUGCGGAAUUCCAGGUGUAGCGGUGAAAUGCGCAGAUAUCGGGAGGAACACCGGUGGCGAAGGCGGUUCUCUGGGCAUUAACUGACGCUGAGGAGCGAAAGCCAGGGGAGCGAACAGG